AGCGGCCGGCCAGGAGCCGGUCCUGGCCACCGUGCCCCUGCUCCCCAAGCCCACCUCGCCUUGUGGAGUUGGAGUAGAGAUCAGCUCUUCCUGAACCCUCCUCACCCACCUCCACUUUCUAAGGGCUCUGGGCACAGGCAGGCAAGGCAGCCACCGCCUCCAUGCCACCCAUCGUCCUCUUUUUCUGUUUUCUUCCAGGUUCUAGCCAAACAUCCUUUCGGGCAAAGGGGGUGGGGAGCCCCAGACAGAUGAGCUCAUUGGGAGGAGGAGGGCAGAGGGAGGAGGGAGCUGAACCGUCCUGACCAGAGAGGUGCUCACCGGGCAGUCCCAAGCCGGAGAGGGGCGUGUGUGUCCACUUCCAGGAGCAGGCAUCCGCUUCCCUGCGGCAGCUCAGAGAUGGGGUAGCAGCUGUAAUCCUUGCCAAAGUUACAACUACCAACAUCAGGAUCCUUCUGGAAUAUUCUAAAAUGCAGCUGACCACUGGCAAAGGCCUCCGGGUCAGCAGGGAGUAGACAGAAAUGACAAAGAAACCAGCAGAAAAGUAGGAACCAGCCACGUCAGCAUUUCUUUGCCAUUCAGAAAGUUGAGGCUUUUCUUAUCUGGUAAGCCCCUGGGCACGUGUGUGUGUGUGUGUGUGUGUGUGUGUGUGUGUGUGAGAGAGAGAGAGAGAGAGAGAGAGAGAGAGAGAGAGAGAGAUGCAGAGGCAUAAAAACAGGAAGCAAGAGAGAAAAAGACUGAGUGUGUCUGGAACAGUAGAGCUCCUGGGCCAGCCAGGGGGUCGUCUUUGGUCCUGAACUUAGGGAGAUUCGACUGCAUGUAAAUAGGAUAGGGCGGCACUCAGACGGGACAUGGACAGCCUGACCCUUCCCCCACAGUGAUCCUCACCCGUGAAGGUGCAUCAGGGGAGUCUCUGACCAGCUGUCAUCUAUUUUCCCUGAACCCAGAGCAGGCAAAAGAAAUGUCUGCCUAAUCAGACACAGGUUAGAAAAAGGGGGCAGGAAGGAUGGCCCCUCCACCCACGGAAAAAAUAACAUCAGUGUUAACAGUGGUGGGGACUUAAAUGGUUGUCAGCAUCCCAGAAAUAACCAGGCGCCACCCCCAAGAAGUGCGUGUUCAGCCACCCUGUCCUCAGGGUGCUUUCAGGGUGGAUGGAGUCCCCCAGGUUUCCGAGACAAGGCAAACGGGGAAAGAGAUAAGGCAUUUGUCAACAUGGGCAGAGCAGAAGGACCUCGUCCUUGCUGGGGACCCGGCAAUGUCAGUGGGGUUACCAGGAAAGGAGCAUCAGGGGGCCCCGUCAGGAUCCUGGCAAAGCCUCUCCCGCUCUGCACCCCCCCCAAAAAAGCCACACUCAAGGGAUGUUCAGGGAGACGAUCUGUUUAUUGUAGCCAAUAGAUCCAAGCAAUGAGACAAACUGCAAAAGAAAUGCGGCAGCUGGGCCCCCGAGGACCGUUGAAGUUUUUCUCCCCACCACCCCUUCCAACCACCCGGUGGCACGUAAAACCUAGAAGGUGCCUGAGUAGUUGGGUUUUCUCCUCCAAGUGCACAAAGAGCAAGAAGAACAUUCUGUAGUUUGCCUUUGGUGAAUCAACUCAAAACAUUGAGAAAUGAUUGUUCCCCUCCCCCCACACCCAGUAUAACUUGUGGGGUGGAUGCAGUGAGAUGUUGUAUAUUUGUGUAUAUAUAAUAUAUCUAUACCUAUAUAUAGACUAUGUACAAAUGCAUCAGCAAGCUUCAAUAAAGGAAGACAUCAGCAUGAGGCACAGCAGGAGACACAGGCUGUCGAUCCUUAAGACAAGUAGCAAGGGAAAUUUCUGGAUUCAUCCCUCCAUCUAACUGCACCACGCCAUGCCCAUGGCCUGGGACUGUCUUUGGUGACCUGGCCAGUAUUCUCAAUUGUCCGUCUGCUUAACCUGACCUUGUAAAUACUUCCCAGCCCGGCUUCCCCAAGGGGACCUAGGAAUCCAAUUAAUCAGCUUUUCCUUUUUAUAAAUUGGGAAUCACUGUGAUUAGUCCCCAGCGAAGGGGCGGAUAGCUAUUUUCAAAGCCAGUUUCAAGGCACCUCAAGGCAUUUCAGUCCUGAAAAAAUUGUACUUUGUUCUUAUAAGCUAAAUCCCAUGGGUCGGCCAGCCCAGCUCUUUACAGGGGCCCUUAAUUAGGAGGAAGAGACAGACAAGGAGGUCCAAGACAACAGGAGAGGCAGGGGCGGUUGAGAAAAACAGGAGACUGGACCCAGCCGAGAGCGCAGGGACGGAAACGCGCAGCCAGAAGUGGGCUUUGCAGGGAGAGGACCAGCUUGCUGGUAGAAACUAGGAAGCAGGAGAGAGAAAUAGCAGCCGUGGAAACAUGUCACCGGUUUCCCACCUCUACUCGCGCGGAAGCCCCAUUUGGUUCCCAACCUCAUCGCCCUGGGGGAGGCAGCUCGAGGAGGCCCCUGGAAGAGAUUCUAAGUGGCUGCAGGAGAAAGGGCGCAUGGGGGUGGGCACGUGGGGCAGAGGUGGCUCCUGGCCCACCUCCAUCCGCUCGGGCCUCUGAGGCCCCACUAGGUCAGGGCACUGCAAGGAAGGAACCCGGGAGUCUGGGGCUUCUUUACGGACAGUUAGGACUUCUUAGAAGAAACCUAGGGAAUCGUGCAAAAACUCCCCUAAAUGUUAGGAGUCCUGGAAAAACAAAGCUGCCCCACUUUUCUGAUCCUCGGCACAGACUUUCACUGGUCCCGGGAGAGGAGAGCCCUUGAGGGGUUGCCGAAAAGUGAAAUCUGCAAGCUGCGGAAGUGCGUCGCCACCUUGGUCUCAGCUGGCAUGGGGUGCCCACCACCCGUCGCUCCCCUCUUCGCUGGUUGGCUCCAAGGAUGGGCUGUGUCCGCCUGCCCCAGGCAUCCUGGUGGCUUAGCCCACCCCCAUUGGCAGUGUGUUGAUUGGCAGUUAGGUACUGAGCUGGACUCACCUGACUCAGGCUGUCUGUCCCCCACGCUGUGCCCACGCUUCCCGGUCUACCACCCUGUUCCCUGCGGUAUCUUUCCCCCCCUUUCCAUCCUUCCUUUCCUUCCCAGGGCCCGGAUUCAGGACUUUCUUGCUUCUUCUCCAACUUCAGCCCUGGGAGCAGUGGGUGCACAGGUGGAAUUAGAUGCACCAAAGAAACCCCAAAAACAAAACAAGACAAAACAAAAAAACUAGUCUUGGCCCCCACGGGGCUGACCUGCAGUUCCCAACUCGUCUAUGGCUUCGUGUGCCUCCCUGGGGCCCGGCACGGUGCCAGGCCCACGGGAGAUGCUCAAUGAACGGAUGCUGAAUUGGAAUGAAUUAAACGGAACCUCCCAUACCGUUCUCGCCCCAAAUCGGCUAUCUGAUGGGGAGAGGCAGAGGAUGGUCCCCGAGACUGUCCCAGUCCUGUCCUCGCCUCCUUUCCUCAGACUCAUUCCUGCCCUGGGCACUGACUUCCUGCGCCUGGGUGGCCUCUGAGCUCCUGGAAAGGCUGGGAAGUGCUAAAGAAGGUCAGCCUGGGGUGGGGGGGAGGGGGGCAGGAGUGGGGCCCUGCCAGCAGCUCUGCCCUCCCACUCCACCCCUCCAUCCCGCCACCCCUCCACCCGGCCUCAAUCACAGCCUGAAGCUGCCGCCCUGGGACAGCAGCAGGCCUGGACAGCCCGUCUCCCUCACCUCACCUCCCUCGUGGACCAGCCCGCAGAGGCUCUUCCCACCCAGAAAACUAUGGCUCUGUUGGGUCAGACUGGAGACUGGGGAGCCAGAGGAGGAGACGGCGGGACCCUCGGUCUCUGCCAGUUUGAACCUCAGUUUCCCCAUUUGUUGCGAGUGGCUUGCCUGGUUGGUCUCUGAGGGUCUUCCAAGGCAGUGUCCACGUCGGCAGCUUCUCUCUGUCUCGCUCCCUCUCCCGAGGCUUAAAUAAUCAGUCCCUUCCUGAUGUGAGUAUAAUGGCAGUGAAAGUUGGCUCUCCAUAAACGCUACUUGCUUCCCCACAGAGGGAGUCCCUGGGGCUGGGAAGGGAGGGAGCGACCACAGGAUCUCAGAGGCUCCCGGAGCCCCCUCACACUUCCCUCAGGGCAUUUCCUUCCCUGUUUUCUACCAAAAGCCAGCCCAAACCCUGCUAACUGGGAAACUUUGAAUGGAAGGCCUGAAUGAAGCCCCCGCUCUGCACAUCGGCUCCCCCAUCGUGGCUCCCACCCCUCCUUAGCCCCCCACCUUGGCCGCUCCCGGCCCGGGAGGAGUGAGGGUGGUCAGCCUGUGGGAGAAGGCAGCCUGCGGCCAACUCCACUUCACAAUGGAGCCCCUGCCCCUUCAGACCUUAGCCGGCUUCGAAAUUUGUCUCCUGUUAGUGGGUAACUAUGGUGGGAAAUGACCGCCACCUGGGACGCUACAACCCGCCCAUGGCCCAGCUCAGUGACUCUCCGUACAAUGCCCACCAAAACUCCCAAGGGAUUGGCAGCUGCCAGAAAACCCCCGAGGCUUCCCUGGUAGCAGCUCUGGACGGAGAGGGGGUAAGAGCAGAGUUUCCUGGGCCGGGGCUCGUCUCCACCUGCCCCCAGCCCCUGCCUGCCUUCAGUGCCCAGGAAAUGCACGGUCCUCCCUUCAACGUGGCCUCCACCCAAGCGACAGGACCCAUCGGCACCCCAGCCUGACCGGGCCACCCGGCCUGGAGCAGCCGGGGAGCACGGCGAUGCCACCGCCCAGGCUUUCUCGAGGCAGCACAAGAAAGCCCCUCUGCCACCCGCCGAUCCUCCCUGAGGCCCCACCGGACCGGUCCACAAACCGGGCAGGCUGGACAGCCGACCUCCCCCUCCGCCACUGCCCACCCUCCCCGCCUCUCUUUCCAGGACCCUCACACAGGCCUCCUGCCUCCCCUCCGGGACCGGCAGUCUGGAGCCCACUUCCCCCUCCCCCAGGGCCCACGUGUCCCACACCCCACGGCAGGUUUCCCCCGAAUGAAAGAGAGGUCGUCCGUGCUGAGUUUCUGCUCUUUUUUCCUCCUCACGCACUUUACUACCAUCAGCACCAAGAUGACCACCGCCAGGAAGCCGCCCACGGAGGCGCCCACGAUCACCGCCACCGUGGAGUCCCGCUCAGGGGGCUCUGGAGGACAAGAAACGGACCCCCUGAGCCCCGGGGCUGGAAAAGGGGGCCUCCCCCGCCGCCCCCUGCUCCCCACAGUAUGUGCGGGCUGGUCCCCAUGGAAAGAGCCCCAUGGCUCCCCAUGGAAAGGACGUUGGUCAAAACCAAAAUCAACCCAGGCCCUUGACCUCCACGGGCCCGCCCCCAAAUCCCCGGGGCACCUAAAAGCCCCAGGGGAUGACAGUGAAACGCAGGAUUUAAGACCAUGGAUUUUGAGAUCGAAUAGACCCAAACCUGAGUCCUAACUGCACUCUUCGUUUAUGGUGUGACCUUAGGUAACUGCCGGUCUCCUCGUCUGUAAGAUGGGGACAGUAACGAUGCCUCCCCCACUGAGGCAUUUUUGACGAUGACCUGGGAUAGCGCCCACGUCGAGGUCAGCCCUCUCACCGAGACAUAGCCAGGGCCCCACGCACGAAAAGCCGCUAUUUUCGGAUGACGAUGGCGACCGAGGUCGCGGUAAGGACUCUCCGAGACGCGGCCCCAGUCCCCAGGGAGCAGCGGAAGAAAAGCGGAGGCCUCCCAGCCGGCACAAGCCCCAGGAGGGGCACGGGCUCUCCAAGGGCGCCCCGAGGGCGGCCGGCUGGGAUCCGGCUCACUCGCCCCUCACCUUCCAUGAGGACCUGCAGAUAGAUCUUGCCGUGGCCCCGGUGGCGGUCGGGCGGGUUCAUGAUGUAGCAGUUGUAGAUGCCCUCGUCCCCCAGCUGCACGCUCCUCAGCGUCACCGACACAUCGUACUUGCUGGGGUUCCCCGAGAACUCCACGCGGUCUCGGAAACGCUCCAGCUUCAGGUUGAUGAUCUUCAUGCGGAACUGGAGGAACUAGGACAAGGGGGCAGGAGGGGAGCUGGAUGCGUGAGGAGGUGUGAGAAGAGUGGGGGGGGGGGGUCCACCCCCAUGCGCCUGUCUUCCCGGAAGAGAGGCGGUUACCUCCAGGUCUCUGUCACCCUCCCGGGCCCCCCCACCCCCGGGGCGGCACGACACGCCUUCUGCCGAAGCCCUCUGGAGCAGACAGAGCCCCACCCCCGCCCCGUCCCCGGGACCACCAGGGUCCUCAUCCAGUGCAGGGACAGGUGGUGGGACAUGGGGGCUUCGCUCGCAAGGGCUCCGCCUCCUCUUUCACCCCCACCCACCUCCUUGCCAGGACUCACCAUCUCCUCAGAGCAGUUGCUGCACUCCUGGUAGGUCCAGUUCAGGGAAAACUGUUUGUGGUUCACCGUGUAGCAGGAGUUGAAGGUGCAGGGCAGGCGGGCGUCAGAGCCAUUGAGGACGUUGAGGGUGGUAGGUACUGUGAUCUCCAUGCUCCGCGCUGGAGGCACUGCGGAUGAAGCCGCAAGCUGGUAAGGAGUCUGGCCGGCAGGGCUGGGGACAGGGCGCAAGCCUUCUGCACCGGGUGGGCGUGGAGAGAGCUCUGGCAGUGGGUGGGGCCCUUCUGGCUGAAACUAGGGAGGGGGGUCAGGUGGGCCAAGCUCAUAAGGGGCACCUGAUGUGGCCCUUGGGCAGAGCAAGGCUGGGGUGGAGAGAAACCGACCCGUCUGUUGAGGCUGGGGCAGACAAGUGGCCCUAAGACUUUCCCAGGACCCUGUCUUGCAGCCAUUCCAUCCGGCUGUCCUGCGGUCCUACCACUGCCACCUGCUGGCUGAAGACCUCGGACGAGGGGCUCCGUUGUGCCGACCCCGGCUUUCACCUCCUUCCCCACCGCUUCCAGAUGUCUCUGCUGAGCCGAAGCCCCUCCAGUGUCCCCCACGGGGUGGAAAGCCUUGAGGAUGGAUGGAGACUCAGAAGGCCUUGCUCUCUAUACCCCAAGGUCAAAGGAAGGCCUUCCAGGACAGUCUCCUCCCAGCAGAGGGCAGCCCCUUGGAGUUCCCCCAGGUCUGGCACACAGCCCAGGCCGGGCAGCGGAGGCCCUGCAGGGCCCUUGUUUUUCACGCUGCUGUAUAGCACAGACCUGCUGGGCCCCACCACACCAGCAGCCGCACCGCAGCCUGGAAGCCUUCUGUUCAGCCCAUCCCUUAGGAUGCAAUGGCUCGUGGGCAGGACGCUGACGAGCAGGAAAUGCAAUAAAAUGCUGGCCGUAGA